GGGCGAUUAGCUCAGCUGGGAGAGCGCCUGCCUUACAAGCAGGAUGUCGGCGGUUCGAUCCCGUCAUUGCCCACCA
rnacentral:tRNA from 1 species